AGUGAACGCUGGCGGUAGGCCUAACACAUGCAAGUCGAACGGCAGCACAGUAAGAGCUUGCUCUUACGGGUGGCGAGUGGCGGACGGGUGAGGAAUACAUCGGAAUCUACUUUUUCGUGGGGGAUAGCGUAGGGAAACUUACGCUAAUACCGCAUACGACCUACGGGUGAAAGCAGUGGAUCUUCGGACCUUUCGCGAUUGAAUGAGCCGAUGUCGGAUUAGCUAGUUGGCGGGGUAAAGGCCCACCAAAGCGACGAUCCGUAGCUGGUCUGAGAGGAUGCUCGGCCACAGGGGAAAUGAGAGACGGACCAGACGAAUAGGGGAGGCCGCAGUAGGGACACUGCGGCAAGGGGCGAAAGCCUGACGGAGAGACGCCGCGUGAGAGAUGAAGAACUACGGAGCGUAAAACUCGGUUAUUAGGGAAGAACAACGGCGGAAUUAACCAUGGACGUCCUGACGGUACCCAAUCAGAAAGCCACGGCUAACUACGUG
rnacentral:rRNA from 1 species